rnacentral:rRNA from 1 species
AUUGAACGCUGGCGGCAGGCCUAACACAUGCAAGUCGAACGGUAACAGGAAGCAGCUUGCUGCUUUGCUGACGAGUGGCGGACGGGUGAGUAAUGUCUGGGAAACUGCCCGAUGGAGGGGGAUAACUACUGGAAACGGUAGCUAAUACCGCAUAACGUCGCAAGACCAAAGAGGGGGACCUUAGGGCCUCUUGCCAUCGGAUGUGCCCAGAUGGGAUUAGCUAGUAGGUGGGGUAACGGCUCACCUAGGCGACGAUCCCUAGCUGGUCUGAGAGGAUGACCAGCCACACUGGAACUGAGACACGGUCCAGACUCCUACGGGAGGCAGCAGUGGGGAAUAUUGCACAAUGGGCGCAAGCCUGAUGCAGCCAUGCCGCGUGUAUGAAGAAGGCCUUCGGGUGGUAAAGUACUUUCAGCGGGGAGGAAGGGAGUAAAGUUAAUACCUUUGCUCAUUGACGUUACCCGCAGAAGAAGCACCGGCGAACUCCGU